UGUGGCUUAGUGGUAGAGUGCUUGCCUAGCAUGCCCAAGACCCUGGGUUCAAUUCCCAGCA
rnacentral:tRNA from 1 species